UUUCCGUAGGUGAACCUGCGGAAGGAUCAUUACCGAAGUACAGGCCCCUUCGGGGGCUAAACUUCCACCCUUUGUUUAUCACACUUUGUUGCUUUGGCGAGACGCCCCUGGGCCACCGGCUUCGGCUGGUGAGCGCUCGCCGGAGAACCCCAAACCCAAACCUUUUUUAGUGUUGUCUGAGAACUAUUUUAAUAAUUAAAACUUUCAACAACGGAUCUCUUGGCUCUGGCAUCGAUGAAGAACGCAGC
rnacentral:misc_RNA from 1 species